CCUUCAAAUUAUUAGUUUGCUUUUACUGAACGGUUCCUUUCAGGUUAAUAGCAGUGAAAUAAAACACAAAAACUACAAGUUCAUUUGAUAAAGAAUAUGAAUGUUUAUAAACCAAUAUUCAAAAUAGCUGCACACAUCUUUUCUUCACUUGAAUAAAAAAAAAUCACAUUGUGACAAAUUUUAUAACCUUAACUUAAAAUACAUGAAUAUUAACAUUUACUAAUAUUUACAUAUUUUAUUUACAUCAUCAACAAACCUGAUGAAAAACAGCAUAUGUUAUUAUUUUUAACACAGCAGGUUUUGACCAGUCUUUGAAAAUUGAUCCAGGAAUGUGCACUGCAUUUAGUUAGAAAACAUAUUUCAACCUUUUCUGACUCCUAGAGGUUACCUACUCACACAAAAUAUUCCAAAACCUCAGUUUAAACAAAAGGAAACAAAUAGGAGCAGUUGUAUUGAAUCUUAAAAGACUAUAAAACUGCCUUGUUUAAAAAUAUGGAAGUUCUUAGUUUGUUUUUAAGUGUAUGCCUUUGUUUUUUGCAUCAAAAUUAUUUAAUUGAACUUUAAGCAUCUAAUAAAAGUUAUAAAUACUCUCAUCUAUGAUACUGUGCACUUCAAGAUUCGAAACAGAUACAAA
rnacentral:lncRNA from 1 species